UACAGAGGUCUCAAGCGUUGUUCGGAUUCAUUGGGCGUAAAGGGUGCGUAGGUGGCGCGCUAAGUCAGGUGUGAAAUUUCGGAGCUUAACUCCGAAACUGCAUUUGAUACUGGCGUGCUUGAGGACUGGAGAGGAGACUGGAAUUCACGGUGUAGCAGUGAAAUGCGUAGAGAUCGUGAGGAAGACCAGUGGCGAAGGCGGGUCUCUGGACAGUUCCUGACACUGAGGCACGAAAGCCAGGGGAGCAAACAGG
rnacentral:rRNA from 1 species